rnacentral:rRNA from 1 species
AACGAACGCUGGCGGCAUGCCUAACACAUGCAAGUCGAACGAAGUCUUCGGACUUAGUGGCGCACGGGUGAGUAACGCGUGGGAACCUGCCCUUCGGUACGGAAUAACGUCGGGAAACUGACGCUAAUACCGUAUAUGUCUCUGGAUGAAAGAUUUAUCGCCGGAGGAGGGGCGCGCGUCUGAUUAGCUAGUUGGUGAGGUAAUGGCUCACCAAGGCGACGAUCAGUAGCUGGUCUGAGAGGAUGAUCAGCCACACUGGGACUGAGACACGGCCCAGACUCCUACGGGAGGCAGCAGUGGGGAAUAUUGGACAAUGGGGGCAACCCUGAUCCAGCAAUGCCGCGUGAGUGAUGAAGGCCUUCGGGUUGUAAAGCUCUUUUGGCAGGGACGAUGAUGACGGUACCUGCAGAAUAAGCCCCGGCUAACUUCGUGCCAGCCGCCGCGGUAAAAC